GCUCACUUCGACAGCACUUAUACUAAAACUGGAAUGAUACAGGGAAAAUUAGCNCCUCUG
rnacentral:snRNA from 1 species